rnacentral:rRNA from 1 species
UACGGGAGGCAGCAGUGGGGAAUAUUGCACAAUGGGCGCAAGCCUGAUGCAGCCAUGCCGCGUGUAUGAAAAAGGCCUUCGGGUUGUAAAGUACUUUCAGUCGUGAGGAAGGUGUUAAGGUUAAUAACCUUAGCAAUUGACGUUAGCGACAGAAGAAGCACCGGCUAACUCCGUGCCAGCAGCCGCGGUAAUACGGAGGGUGCGAGCGUUAAUCGGAAUUACUGGGCGUAAAGGGCACGCAGGCGGUUAAUUAAGUUGGAUGUGAAAUCCCCGGGCUUAACCUGGGAAUGGCAUUCAAGACUGGUUAGCUAGAGUCUUGUAGAGGGGGUAGAAUUCCAUGUGUAGCGGUGAAAUGCGUAGAGAUGUGGAGGAAUCCGGUGGCGAAGGCGGCCCCUGGACAAAGACUGACGCUCAUGUGCGAAAGCGUGGGGAGCAAACAGGGAUUAGAUACC